AGAGUUUGAUCCUGGCUCAGGAUGAACGCUGGCGGCGUGCCUAAUACAUGCAAGUCGAGCGAACGGACGAGAAGCUUGCUUCUCUGAUGUUAGCGGCGGACGGGUGAGUAACACGUGGAUAACCUACCUAUAAGACUGGGAUAACUUCGGGAAACAGGAGCUAAUACCGGAUAAUAUUUUGAACCGCAUGGUUCAAAAGUGAAAGACGGUCUUGCUGUCACUUAUAGAUGGAUCCGCGCUGCAUUAGCUAGUUGGUAAGGUAACGGCUUACCAAGGCAACGAUGCAUAGCCGACCUGAGAGGGUGAUCGGCCACACUGGAACUGAGACACGGUCCAGACUCCUACGGGAGGCAGCAGUAGGGAAUCUUCCGCAAUGGGCGAAAGCCUGACGGAGCAACGCCGCGUGAGUGAUGAAGGUCUUCGGAUCGUAAAACUCUGUUAUUAGGGAAGAACAUAUGUGUAAGUAACUGUGCACAUCUUGACGGUACCUAAUCAGAAAGCCACGGCUAACUACGUGCCAGCAGCCGCGGUAAUACGUAGGUGGCAAGCGUUAUCCGGAAUUAUUGGGCGUAAAGCGCGCGUAGGCGGUUUUUUAAGUCUGAUGUGAAAGCCCACGGCUCAACCGUGGAGGGUCAUUGGAAACUGGAAAACUUGAGUGCAGAAGAGGAAAGUGGAAUUCCAUGUGUAGCGGUGAAAUGCGCAGAGAUAUGGAGGAACACCAGUGGCGAAGGCGACUUUCUGGUCUGUAACUGACGCUGAUGUGCGAAAGCGUGGGGAUCAAACAGGAUUAGAUACCCUGGUAGUCCACGCCGUAAACGAUGAGUGCUAAGUGUUAGGGGGUUUCCGCCCCUUAGUGCUGCAGCUAACGCAUUAAGCACUCCGCCUGGGGAGUACGACCGCAAGGUUGAAACUCAAAGGAAUUGACGGGGACCCGCACAAGCGGUGGAGCAUGUGGUUUAAUUCGAAGCAACGCGAAGAACCUUACCAAAUCUUGACAUCCUUUGACAACUCUAGAGAUAGAGCCUUCCCCUUCGGGGGGGCAAAGUGACAGGUGGUGCAUGGUUGUCGUCAGCUCGUGUCGUGAGAUGUUGGGUUAAGUCCCGCAACGAGCGCAACCCUUAAGCUUAGUUGCCAUCAUUAAGUUGGGCACUCUAAGUUGACUGCCGGUGACAAACCGGAGGAAGGUGGGGAUGACGUCAAAUCAUCAUGCCCCUUAUGAUUUGGGCUACACACGUGCUACAAUGGACAAUACAAAGGGCAGCGAAACCGCGAGGUCAAGCAAAUCCCAUAAAGUUGUUCUCAGUUCGGAUUGUAGUCUGCAACUCGACUACAUGAAGCUGGAAUCGCUAGUAAUCGUAGAUCAGCAUGCUACGGUGAAUACGUUCCCGGGUCUUGUACACACCGCCCGUCACACCACGAGAGUUUGUAACACCCGAAGCCGGUGGAGUAACCUUUUAGGAGCUAGCCGUCGAAGGUGGGACAAAUGAUUGGGGUGAAGUCGUAACAAGGUAGCCGUAUCGGAAGGUGCGGCUGGAUCACCU
rnacentral:rRNA from 1 species